GGUGAUUUAACUCAGGGGCACUUGACCACUGAGCUGUGUCCACAACUCCAUUUUAUAUUUUAUUUAGAGAUAGGGUCUCACUGACUUGCUUAGUACCUCACUAAAUUUCUGAGUCUGGCUUUGAACUAGCAAUCCUCCUGUCUCAGCCUCCCAAGCCACUGGGAUUACAGGCGUGUGCCACUGUGCCCAGCUUGGUGGCAUUUUUUAACCUUGUUUUCUCAUGUUUCUUCUAUUUCUGUGUUGAGGUUUGUUCAUCUGCUGGGAUGGAUAUUUCUUCUACUUUUAUUUAAGGGUCUUUUAGUUCUGUGCUUUCUCUUUUAUUUGCCCCGGGAUGUGGGUAUUUCUCAGGGUUAAAGUACCCACUCAAGGGGUUGGGGUUGUAGUUCAGUGGUAGAGCAAUUGCAUAGCAUAUGUGAGGCACUGCGUUUUGAUCCUAACCACCACAUAAAAAUAAAUAAAUAAAAUAAAAUAAAGGCAUUUGUCCAUCUACAGCUAAAAAUAUUUUUUAAAACACCAACUCUUAGCAGGAGAAGGAAGAUGGUGGCGAGGGGAGUGCAUUGCCCCCGUAUGCUGCUUCACUGUGUGGGAGUAUGACAAGUCAGGACGGCUAAAGGAUAUCUUGUUAGGAAUUUCCAGCAAUAGUGGGGUGCUCCGGAACCUGGAGGAAGGAUUUCCAUCGCACGAGGAUUGGCUACGGGGACUCAAACGCGAGAGGUUUGUCGCACAGAGGGUAACACUGCUUAUUCAGCAAAUCGCCCCGCGGCUAGAGUCUGCAGCACGCGCUGGGAAACGUGGAGAUAGUGACGCAGGGAUACAGUGCUGCAGUUUCUGCCAGCCGUGCAAGCACCGUACUCAGGGCUGAAUUCUGGGUUCGAGACGGGGGAAGGAAGCGGUCCAUCUCGGUUCUCCACACUGGUCAGACCACAGAGGAGGCCAGCGNU
rnacentral:lncRNA from 1 species